GUCUGAUGUGAAAGCCCCGGGCUCAACCUGGGAAGUGCAUUGGAAACUGGCAGACUUGAAUACGGGAGAGGGUAGUGGGAUUCCUAGUGUAGGAGUGAAAUCCGUAGAUAUUAGGAGGAACACCGGUGGCGAAGGCGGCUACCUGGACCGAUAUUGACGCUGAGACGCGAAAGCGUGGGGAGCAAACAGGAUUAGAUACCCUGGUAGUCCACGCCGUAAACGAUG
rnacentral:rRNA from 1 species